AUACAGAUAACUCAAAUGGUAGAGUAAAUGGUCUCCAAAACCAUUUGUUGGAGGUUCGAAUCCUUCUCUGUAUG
rnacentral:tRNA from 1 species